AUCUAGUCGAGGGACACGUUUUUCAAAAGGCAAAACGGACAACAUGAAACUGAAAUUAUGCAAAAAAUUAAUUAACUAAAAGUUAACAUUUUCUAUUAAAACAAUGGUAUAAAUUACAAAAUUUUGUUGCAUCACAUAUUGGCUAGCCGUGUCAAUGUAGAGCAAGACAUUUAACCAUAUAGGGGCCUUCAAGCUCAUAGCCAAGUUUCCUAUAAUAGUGACGGGUUCCCACCCCCGAAAUCACUGCUAUUUUAGUUGAUCUAUGCUCCCUGCGAGCAAUCCGCUCUGCCUCUUCCAUUAAUAGUGUACCGUAACCCUGGUGUUGCAACUUGUCUGCAUCACGCCCAUGAACAGGAACAGCAGUUCCAUAAACAUGGAGCUCACGAACAAUAGAGCAAUUUCCCAUGAGCUCUGGGCAAGUAACAUUUCGACCACAUUUUCGCAAUCGCAAUAAACCAACGAGGAUAUCCUGCAACCAAACAGAAUUUUGGAAAGGUUCAUUUAUGUUCAGAUUCAGCAAACAAAAAGCUUCUCUAAUGAGCAUCAAGAAGCAACCACACCGAAGCAAGUCAGUACUCCUCAACUGAUAGCAAGGAUCCUAAAGCAUGUUUGGUACAUUGUAUGAAAUGUAAUGAACUGAAAAUGCAAUGGGCGAUGAAAAAGAAAUUCUCCAGUGUACCAAAAAAUGCAGUCAGGGUCCCCAGCAGUCUACAACCACAUUUUCAUGUGAUACCUAUCACUGUAACUUAGAGUAUUUGCAAAUAAUUAGGUGCAAUCAUACUAUAUAUCCCUUCCCUUCCAAACGCGUACACACACAUGCGCAUGCCAUGCAUGCGGGAAAGGUGUCCCACUUACCUGUCUUGUAUCCUCGUAUGAAAGAAAUGUUUCCCAACCUUCAUUUGCUGUAUAAUCUCGGCGAAUGAGCUCAACUUCUUCUGGUUUAAUUUUGUGAUGAAUGUCCUGGAUUCCAGCCUCACGCGUACGGACAUCACGGCAUUUCAAACCCAAGUCAUCCAUUCGAGCUAAAGCUAGCUCCCUAAGAUUUCCCUUCUCAACCCCAGAUGUAACCAAAGGCAUAGGAAUAUCCCGUUGAACUCUAUAGACACGUGUCCAAGGCGGUACCAUGGCUAGGAUUCUCGCUACAAUAUCUACAAGUUGCUCAGGUGGGUAAUUUCUGUACCUGCCAGUUUUCCAGAGCUCAUAAAGCCCAGUUCCACGAAUUACGAGUGUGGGAUAAAUUUUCAGCCCAUCUGCUCUAAAUGAAGGACUCUCAAAGAACUCUCGAAAACUUUCCAAGUCUCGCUCAACCCCAACAUUUGGAAGAUCAGGCAUCAUAUGAGCAACAACCUUGAAACCAGCAUCCUUUGCCAAGCAAAAACAAUCAGCAACAGCAGCUACUGUGUGUCCUCUAUUAGUAUCCCGAGCAACAUCCUCAUAUGUGCUUUGAACUCCAAUCUCCAAUCGCGUACAACCAUAAGAAAGCAUUUGACGCAAAUGAGGUCCAAGGCAGUAAUCUGGCCUCGUUUCAAUUGUCAUGCCAAUACACUUUGUUGCACUAUGCUCAGAGUAGGCAACUGCCUCUUCAACAUUGGCAGAAGUGUGUCCUGACAAAGCAUCAUGAAGAUUCCUUAUAAAGUAAUCACGGUAGUCUGCUGGCAAUGACAUGAACGUACCACCCAUCAAUAUGAACUCGACCUUAUCUACACUGUGGCCCAACCGCUUAAGUUGAUCAAUCCUGCUUCUAGCCUGAACAUAUGGGUUAUAUCUGGCUCGAAUUGCACGCAUGCUAGUAGGUUCAUAACCAGUGUAGGACUGCGUGCUGUACUCAAAAUCUGAAUCCGGCCCACCAGGACAAUAAACGCAAAUAUUUCCCGUUGUUGCAAUAUGCGGGCACCGAUGCGGUUUCGACAUGACGGCGACGACAGCAAUUCCAGAGGCGGUGCGAACCGGCUUGGCGCGGAGCUUCGGAAGUAGCGAUUCGCGGUCGGACUCGGGAAGAGCCGCGAUCAUCUCCACGAGUUUUGGGGCUCGCGCAAGGCCGUACUUGCGGCAGGCGGCGGAUUUAAUAGCGUUGAGGUCCACAGUUAGGUUCUUUCGCGAGAGUUCCACCAUGGAGUUGACGAUUUCUGCUAUGGCUCGUACCCGGGCUUCCUCUUCACUCAGGCCGUGGGCUUGGUAUCCACCCCGACCAGGCCGCGGCGCCUUUUUGGACUCGGAGAUUACUGCUGUUGCCAUCUGGAGGAGAAAGAGAGACACAGAGAAGCUAAACAC
rnacentral:misc_RNA from 1 species